ACAGAGGUGGCAAGCGUUGUUCGGAAUUACUGGGCGUAAAGGGCGAGUAGGUGGCCAUCUAAGUCAGACGUGAAAUCCCCCGGCUUAACCUGGGAACUGCGUCUGAUACUGGACGGCUUGAGUAUGGGAGAGGAACGUAGAAUUCCAGGUGUAGCGGUGAAAUGCGUAGAUAUCGAGAGGAACACCUGCGGCGAAGGCGGGUUGCUGGGCUGAUACUGACGCUGAUGCGCGAAAGCCAGGGGAGCGAACGGGA
rnacentral:rRNA from 1 species